rnacentral:rRNA from 1 species
CCGAUGGAGGGGGAUAACACUGGAAACGGUAGCUAAUACCGCAUAACGUCGCAAGACCAAAGAGGGGGACCUUUAGGCGUCUUGCCAUCGGAUGUGCCCAGAUGGGAUUAGCUAGUAGGUGGGGUAAUGGCUCACCUAGGCGACGAUCCCUAGCUGGUCUGAGAGGAUGACCAGCCACACUGGAACUGAGACACGGUCCAG